rnacentral:rRNA from 1 species
UGGGGAAUUUUGCGCAAUGGGGGAAACCCUGACGCAGCAACGCCGCGUGGAGGAUGAAAUCCCUUGGGAUGUAAACUCCUUUCGAUCGGGACGAUUAUGACGGUACCGGAAGAAGAAGCCCCGGCUAACUUCGUGCCAGCAGCCGCGGUAAUACGAGGGGGGCAAGCGUUGUUCGGAAUUAUUGGGCGUAAAGGGUGUGUAGGCGGUUUGGUAAGUCGUGUGUGAAAUCUUCGGGCUCAACCCGAAGUCUGCACACGAAACUGCCGGGCUUGAGUAUGGGAGAGGUGAGUGGAAUUCCUGGUGUAGCGGUGAAAUGCGUAGAUAUCAGGAGGAACACCUGUGGCGAAAGCGGCUCACUGGACCAUUACUGACGCUGAAACACGAAAGCUAGGGGAGCAAACAGGAUUAGAUACCCCCGUAGUCC